UGAAAAAAAAAAAUUUAAAAGUGACAUGAGAAAGAUAUUCUUCAGCAAAAUGAAUUUUUGUAUUUCCCCUUUGCUCCUCAAAUGCCUUUUCUUUUUUCUUUAAUUUGUUAAUGUUUAUUUAUUUUGAGAGAGAGGGAGAGGCAGAGAGAGAGAAGAUCCCAAGCAUACUCUUUGCUGUCAACACAGACCCUGACACAGGGCUCGAACUCACAAACCAUGAGAUUAUGACCUGAGCCAAGAUCAAGAAUCGGCCACUUAACAGACUGAGCCACCCAGGCACCCCUCAGAUUCCUUUUCUUGUAUACUCCUCUGCAAAAUUGUUAAUGUAAUAUAAUUUCAUGCUUGGAAGUCUUUUCUUAAAACCAUGUGAUAUUUCUCUGCAAUAAACAUGUGAGUAUAAACUUCAACUUUACAUUUUCUGUGACCAUAUACCAAAUAUUGAAACAUUUUCCUUCAAAAUUAUUUUUAAAUACUAUUAAUAUAUGUUCAAAACAACAUAAAUAUAUCACAAAAUGUGAAAAAUAAACACGAAAAAUAAAUGUUAUUCUGAAUGAGUCUGGUACUGAGAUAGGUAGAGAUUCUUUUUUCCCCUCAGUCUGUGAAUUUGUGAAUGGAGGUGAUGCGGUGCUAGACAGAGACAAGAAGGGGGUUGCUGCUGAGCUGUGUUAAAACUUAGUAGCUAGAUGAACAUGUUCUCAAAUCAUUGUGGUGAUUUUACUUUCUGUUAAUUGGCCUUUCCCUGGAAGUCGUAAAUUAUGAAUCUUCAGUCUUACGCACGUCUGCAGGGGCCUCCUGUCCACGGCGCCUCUCAUCACGCUCACAGGCAGCGGUCGGAGACUCAAGUCCUGCCUGUUCCAGCCCGUGAUGCAGAUACGCGCUCCUGCCUGGGUGAAGAGUCACAGCCCUGGAAGAUACCAUAUGGUUUCAUUAGAAAGUUUGCUCAUAGAUAAUGUGAUGCUGUGUCCCCACUUUACCUUGGACGAGUUUUACCAGGAAUCAGUUUGCUUUAUAGAUCUGUCUUAGGAAUCCAUAUUCUAGUGAAAUAUUUAAUGUUUUUCUACAGAAUCUAAAUUCUUUUACAAGCCAGACGUCAUGAGGUUCCAUCAAGCUCUGUCUUCAGCCCUCCGGUGUCAGACUCACGGACCAGCCGUCUGCUGACCCAGACGGAAGGGCAGCAGCUCACCGCUGCCUCCCAGCUGUCUACCUCCACCGUGGAAGCAGGAGGCUUCGGUUCUGCAGAAAAUGGAAUGGAAAAGAAAACAAUUCCUAAAGGAAGAUACAGGUAAUGAAAAAAGAGAAAGCAUGAAUCUUAAAAGAAAACUGAGCACACGUAAUUUUUCGGGGAGAACAAGCAAACGCGUGGCAUCAGAAGAAGACGCUGCUGAGGUCAAAGCCUACCUAAAUUGUGGGAACCCCAGAACAUGCGAAAACCAUUUUUGUGAUAGUAGGUAUUUGGAUGAUUUGGAGCAAAAAGCCAAGUGAUUGAAAUGCUCCAAGAGGCUGAGGCCCUGGUGGUGACACUGAUGUAUGAGGAUCGUUGGACCCAGCUGAGAGUGGCCCAGGCAUCGUGGUGUCACUGCAGAGCCGUGCAGUUGGCAGUGGUCCCCUGGACAUCCCAGCUUCUGACGGCGCCCCCGGGGGAAGUCUCCACACCCAGUCCACGGUGUAACUACAUAGAAAUGGAGCCUCCUCCGAUGGGGCCAAGAGCAUGAGGCAUAUAAUCAGUUUUCCAGGUCAGACAUCUCCAUUCACUGCCUUAAGUCCUACUUACAUGCCUGCUUCAGUCCAAUUUAAAGUCUCCCAAGCUCCAGUUUUAAUUAUUUAAACUUUUAGAAGUUUUGUUUGGGCAUGUGAAAAUAAAUGUGAAAAAAAAAAAGAUCUAAAUGACAGAAACCUCUGCAAACACCAGCCUGCUUUUCCCCAGAGAGUUUCUGGAAUGGGGGUUCCAUCCUUCCAUGGGAGCCCCUCUAGGACUUGAACUGAGAGCUCAGUGAGAAGUUGGGGAGGAAAGCAUGGUUCCAAGGCCUGAAAAUCCAGCCAUGGCCAGACUCCUAGACUAUUUUCCUCAUCACACGCAUUCAUUCACUCAUUCACAGCGUUAGAAAAUUAAGUUAUCCCUCUAUUCAAAAACUAAAUUGUCCUCAGUACCACCUAAUUUCAUAGCUUCACUCUGUGAGAAUAGUUAUAAGACGUAGCCCACUUGGACCUGCCCUUUGAGAGUCUUACAACUUAGAACGAGCAGAGAUGCUUGUCCCGGUCCUGAAAAGUCCUGCUGGGGGCUCUAGCCUGUGCCUCGCCACAGCUGCUGGUGCCUUGGGUGGGGACAUCCACUUCCUAUCCUCCCUGCCCUUGGAGUUCCAGCCCCCUAGCUGCCUGGCAGGAGCUCCUAGAAGGGGCUGUCCGGUCCUGAAGAGGGGCUCACAGGGUGGGGUGGGGGGCAGUGAGAAGGUGGCACUUGGGCCUGGCCCUUUCAGCCUCAUCCAGUCUCACUGGGCUGUGGGGGACUUAUAGGCAGUUGUGUCUGUGUUGUCUCAGCGAGGAGUGCCGGGGGCCAGUGUUCACUUUUAUGAUGACAGGACACAGUUCAGCGAAACCACUGGGGAGCUCUGAGGGACAAGAUUUAUUCCUCACAGGUCCCGGAGGGUAUGCAGCACACUGGGGCGCACAGCAAAGUCGCAGGUAGAGCAAGAGGGGGAGCAGGUCUGAGGCUCUGCCUUUAUGAGGGUCUAAGGAUGUGGGGCUUGGGGUUUCAAGGGCUCACUCCUUAUUGGCUGAUAUAAGUCAUAAAGGUGGGAAUUAGGGUGCAGGAAGGGAAAAGCAGGCUCACUCACAGGUCAGUUAUCCAGGUCACCCUGGCUUUUCUGGAGGGACCUUCACGGGUGGGGGCGGCCUUGUUCCUUUUCUGGUUGUUUUGCUAGCAGCUUGUCGUACAGCUGGCAACAUGGACGUUCUUUCGAAGUGGUUGCCUCGGCAAUCAAAAGCCCGAUACCCACACUUGCACCACAGUAAUUUUUGGUGCAAACGGGACAACUUUUGACAAACAUAGCGCUCUGCUCACAAGAAACCUGUAGCCUUAUUUUUACAUAAUUGUCUUCGGAAAGAACAGUUCGGCAGGUCUGUUGCAUGGAAGGCCCAUUUGAGAGCAGAGCCCUAACACUUGGACAGCCUUUGCUGAAUUCUGGGUUUAUAUAUCCUACUCAGUGCUGUUUACUUGGACACGUGGUAAUCACUUCAGCCUCAACAUGUGUCGAACUGAGCCCCUGCCCUGCCCGAGACCUGCCUCCUGGGGUCUGUGUUGUCCUAGCCAGUGUCCGCACUUGCUCUCCGUGAGUCUUAGGUCAUCUUUAACUUCCCUCUUCUUUGCAUAUACUACGUUCAAGCUCUUAGCAAAUCCUAUUGGCUCUGCCUUCAAAAUACAGCUAGAAACUGACUUUCUUCCUCUCUGCUGCUGCCAUUUGUUUCAGCCUUUACCUCCUGACAGAACUGGGCACGAGCUUCCUCGGUGGCCUCCUGCCUCCACCGGCCCCUCCACCUGCUCUCUGCACGGCUCCCAGAGAGGUCCUACACACUCCCUGUCCCGAACCCUCCAGCAGCUCCCCACAUGCCUGCAGGUCUGCACCUGCCCCUCACCGGGCAGGAGCUCGUCUCCUCUCUCCCUGCUCUCACUGCCCCCCAGCCUCCUGCUCUACGUGAGGGUCUUGGUUCUUCCCUCUCCUGCAGUGUGCUCCCAGCUCUCGGCACGACUUGCUGCCCCAUUCCUGUAAACCACACACACACACACACACACACACACACACACACACACACGCGCGCGCGCGCGGGCGCAGCAAAUCA